rnacentral:rRNA from 2 species
UGGGGAAUAUUGCACAAUGGGGGAAACCCUGAUGCAGCGACGCCGCGUGAGUGAAGAAGUAUUUCGGUAUGUAAAGCUCUAUCAGCAGGGACGAUAAUGACGGUACCUGACUAAGAAGCCCCGGCUAACUACGUGCCAGCAGCCGCGGUAAUACGUAGGGGGCAAGCGUUAUCCGGAUUUACUGGGUGUAAAGGGAGCGUAGACGGUUUGGUAAGUCAGAUGUGAAAGCCCGGGGCUCAACCCCGGGACUGCAUUUGAAACUAUCAGGCUAGAGUGCAGGAGAGGUAAGUGGAAUUCCUAGUGUAGCGGUGAAAUGCGUAGAUAUUAGGAGGAACACCAGUGGCGAAGGCGGCUUACUGGACUGUAACUGACGUUGAGGCUCGAAAGCGUGGGGAGCAAACAGG